rnacentral:rRNA from 1 species
ACAGCAGUCGCCACGGGAAAACGAAGGGGGCUAGCGUUGUUCGGAAUUACUGGGCGUAAAGCGCACGUAGGCGGCUUGGUAAGUUAGAGGUGAAAGCCUGGAGCUCAACUCCAGAAUUGCCUUUAAGACUGCCGAGCUAGCAGGUGAGAGAGGUAAGUGGAAUUCCGAGUGUAGAGGUGAAAUUCGUAGAUAUUCGGAAGAACACCAGUGGCGAAGGCGGCUUACUGGCUCAUACUGGACGCUGAGGUGCGAAAGCGUGGGGAGCAAACAGGAUUAGAUACCCCAGUAGUCCCUGUCUCUUAUAC